AUUGAACGCUGGCGGCAGGCUUAACACAUGCAAGUCGAGCGAGCGGCGGACUUGUGAGUAAUGUCUUGUAAACUGCCUGAUGUAGGGGGAUAACUACUGUAAACGGUAGCUAAUACCGCAUACCAUCAGAUGUGCCCAGAUGGGAUUAGCUAGUAGGUGGGGUCAUGGCUCACCUAGGCGACGAUCCCUAGCUGGUCUGAGAGGAUGACCAGCCACACUGGAACUGAGACACGGGCCAGACUCCUACGGGAGGCAGCAGUGGGGAAUAUUGCACAAGGGGCGCAAGCCAGAUGAAGCCAUGACGCGUGUGUGAAGAAGGCCUUCGGGUUGUAAAGAACUUUCAGAGAGGAGGCGUUACUCGCAGAAGAAGCACCGGAUAACUACGUGCCAGCAGCCGCGGUAAUAC
rnacentral:rRNA from 1 species